ACUUGGCUCAACUCAGGACACCCAAAAAGGAAAAUUUAUGCAAGAUUAGGUAUUUCAAGAUAAUGACAAAGUUACAAAUAAGAGGAGUAAUAACAUAGAUGCAACAAAUAUGCUAGAUUUCCAUGGCGGCGGAUCAUCAUUGCAGCUCCGACAUUUCUUCCCUUCAAGUCGACAUUAUCGAAACAGCCAUAGCUUCUUUCUGGUUCCAUGAUUUGAUCUUAGAGAUAGGGCUGAUAGUGGCAAAAGCUAUUGUUGUUGCGAGAGAGGAACAUUUAUGAGUGGUUGGUUUCUUCUUUACUUGUAAUCUGAGUUAUGUAAUAUUGAACCUUUCUUAUGCUACAGAGAAAAGUAAUAUCCUCUAGGAGGAAUGACUUGAGACUCAAUCUACCAUUUCUUUCUCGUGUUGUUGAAGACAUUUGGAAAUGAGCACAUGUCUAUGCAUCAUAUCAAAUUACCACCAAAGAGAUUGACAAGGAUCAAUUUAGUGCUGUGCUUAAGUAGCCCUAGACUGUAAUUUAAAUGAAUUUUUGAAGCAUUUUUAAGCAGGCAUAGUCCCACUAAUCGAGUACCUUCUAACCCAACAAGUACAUGGAUUUCUUCUUUUAUAAUCUUCUUAUGAACCAUUGUUUACAACUGCAAAUUUCUUCCAUUACUCCCCCUUUCAAUCUCUAUGUACCCAAAUCAAAUCCCUAAACUUUGGUGCCAAAACUAGGGCAAGUCAUUCUCAGCAUAAUAGACCAUACUUUCAUGCACUUAAUACCAAAUCAGAUCAGAUCCUUCAACAUUUUAGCUUCGUAUGGAGAGAUGCGAGUUGUGACCAGAUAAGGGAAUGAAAAUAUCACUCUAUCCAGUUGUCUGAUAAAUUGCAAUUUCAAUUUCAAUCUCAAUCAAGACUGUCUCUCUAGUAUUGAAUGAAAAUGGAUAUUAUUUCUAACUCCAAUGAACGGAAUUUGAUAAAACAAAAUGGCUAAAAGCAAUAAUGAAACAAACUCCAGUUUCUUACACCUGCAAUGAACUCCCAAGAUUUAGGGGUCUGCAGUAAGGACUUGAUUCUUUUUCUUUUUAAUGCAUAAUUACAAAAGUAAUACGUCUACCGAUCAGACAAUUUAGAAGCUAUUAAGGAUGAUCCACUUCAUUAUUGUUUCCUAGAGUGAGUGCAUAGAAACUGGUUAAGCUUUCAAAAUCUAUGAUGCGAAGGCUCGGAACUUAUUAGUGAUCCCACAAUACAAUACAACAUA